UAAUUAAUAAUCUUGUCGAAAACAUGAACACAAAUACAAUGUGUUUAAUACUCAACAUAGGACCCAAUUCCAACCGUCUUAUAUUAAAAGCUACAUGAUACACAUUAUAGAUUUUAGAUUUAUGAAAUACACACAAGAAGUGUUAACUUUAUUCAACGUGCUAGUCUUAUUGACCCAUUAAACCAAACCCGUUUAUAUACGUGUCAUAUAUGGAAUUGCCUAUUCUAGACUUCGAUUGUUUCUUGUUUUAACUUUAUUUUACUUAUUGAUCAACUAUGUGUUUUGGUUGACUACUAUAAGGAUAUCAAGGUUGACUACUAUAAGGAUAUCAAGGUUCUCCCACGCGUCGCUAGAAAUAUGACCCUGCCACCGCAAGCACCCUUAUGCCCAAGAAGUCUCUUGUAAUAACUGACAGUGAUAUUAUUAUUUCUGAUUCACCAAAGAGACAUGUUUGUUUUUCAGGGUUUUCACCACGGUACAAUCCGUUGGAUCCCAACGGGAAGACCCCAAAAACGGACAUGGUUCCCUUGAAUGACGAGGGGAAGAAAAUCUGGCUGCAGUUUCUAGAAUUUGCUAAAUCGAUGCGUGCACUUAUUUCAAUAUCUCUAGGUUAUUCACAUGUAGAGAAAGAAAAAAGGCCAAUUCCGCUCAAUAAUCCUGUUGUUGGUCUUAUUAGUUCCUUUGCGAUUGAUACCUUCAACCAAGCUUUUGAGAUGAUUAGAUUUUCUUCCAACUUCUUUGAAUCUUCUACCAUAUGUUUUUUGUCAUAUUUGUUAAGCAAGUUUAUGUUGCUAGCUUAUUAAGGAGAGCGAACAUAACCGCAUUGAUGGUAUUGAGUUUCUCAAGUGCACCUAUAUAAAGAUGGUCGGGGUGUAUUAUUUUUACCUGACUAUAAUGGCACGUGAAAAAGGAAAUCUUGGCAUCUAUGAGACAAAAGUUAAAUGCCAAACGGCAUCCGGACGCAGAAGUUUCAGCUACUUUGUCCUGACAUAUCCUCCAUUAGAAGAUAGUGAAGAUGAUCGGUCUGAUUCAGAGGACAGUGGAGAUGAUUGGUCUGAUCCAGAGGACAAUCUAUCUAUCGAGGGGAUGGAGCUUAGGAAGAAGAACGCCGCUUGUAGGGGUUACGACUUCCAUACCCCAUAUGGAUUCGAUGGUCCUUGACUUUAUGAUUAUGCUUUGUGGGACUAGUUGCGAGAAGUUGGCAGGCAUAAAAGUAUGAAGUAUGAUUAAAGAUGUAAUUGAUCACAAGUGAAGCUAGCACCAGGAAGUCUCACGUAGACUUGAUGAGCGGUUUAUAUAACAUCUCUCUAUCUUGAAACUUUCUAGGCUUUUCGUGCACUCCUAAUACUAGUUUAAUUAACGAAUGGUUCUGUACAUUAAUAAGUUGUAUUGUUUGCCGGAACACCAUUCAAUUGUUGGAAUAUGAUCACGUUAUAAUAAACGCAUGUCCGGUAUUUAUUUAA